UGGGAUGUAGCUCAGUGGUAGAGCACUUGCCUAGCAUGUGUCAGCCCUGGGGUGCAUCCCAGCAUUGCAA
rnacentral:tRNA from 1 species